AUGAUGGAUAGGACAAGUUCUUCGGCGAACCCACUUUUCGAGGAGCAAGGUGAUGAUCGCGACUACGUCACCAAGAGCCACUUCUUCGUCGCGCAACGGACUAUCCAUCAAGAAAGUGAAGCCUUGGGUGAACGACUUGAUCAACUCGCCACCGACCUUUGUCAAUCUGAAGCAAGGAACUGCGACUACAUUGACGCCACGUUCACCACACAAAUGGAAGAACUCCGCAACAUGACCGUGCGACGCCCGUCUUCCUCAACCUCUUCAUCAAGACGAUGCCACUCCAGCCGCCGCUCAAGUCGGCAAUCUUCGGACUACUCGUCUUAUGAUGCAAGUCCCCCACGAGCUCACUUUCCUCGACAUGAUGAUCCCCAAGAUCACCAAGCUCAAGAAAAUCCAUUCCAAGGCAAUGGCUUACAAGACCGAGUCCGAGGACGUAAAAGGGCGCGACAACAAGCGCAAGAAGCAGUGGAGCAAGAGCAAAUACCUCCACAAGUACAACAACCACCUCAAGGUAGUGAUGCAAGACGUGAAGCACAAGCCCUCGAACGUGAAGCGCAAGCACUCGAAGCUCAACGCACACUCAACGAGGGCACUAGAGCCAUCGAAGAGCGCAACCGCCAAGUACGUGAACAAGAAGAAGCACUUCGUGAAGCAUGA
rnacentral:rRNA from 1 species